rfam:Picea glauca, whole genome shotgun sequence.
UAUGACAUGCCUACGACGUUAAUGCACUGGAUCCCAUCAGAACUUCGUAGUUAAGUGCGUUUGGGAUAGAGUAGUACUAGAGUGGGUGACCUCCCUGGAAGUCCUAGUGUUUUACAUGC